ensembl:lncRNA
CUGCCCUCCCUCCACGUGCUCAGUCACUGUUUCAAGCUGUGACUUAGCAUUUACACUACUAUAUUUACACACACACACACACACACACAUAUAUAUAUAUAUAUACAUACCAAAAAACCUACCAGUAUACUGGGGGAAAGAGCAUAUUUUCUGUAAUUCUGUUGACCUCAGCAGGUGUUUCUGAACCCUUAAGUUGAAUGUAGUAGGUUAUUUUUUCAGUCAAUGAAAAAUGUAAAUGGGCAAAGAAAUUUUACAGAAGACAAAAAGACCCUUCCAAAAAGAGGAUUAAUAAAAAGUAAUGUGUUUUUUAUUAGCGAGAGACUGAAAAUUGAAUAGAAUCCUGUCCAGUGCAUAUUAACAGUACAUUUCUUUCUGAAAUACUUCAUAAAACGCGUAUGCUGCGUUAUCAUAGCUAUUAACUCUUGUCUGCUUUCAGCAUACUUCUUAACUUCAGGAAUUUGACAUGCACAUCCAUCUCCUGGAGAUGUACUGAUGAUCUCAGAAAUUUCCCCAAAGACUCAAGACUUCUUGAUUUUCAACAUAAUAAAUGUUUCUCCAGGAAUGUUUUGUUGGGAAGUGUAGCACUUUAUAUGCCUCAUUUCAAAACUUAGGACUUACUCAAAGAAAGUCAGUCAGAAAAUAUUACAGUAAAAAGACAAACUAUGUUAGUGCUUACCAAGUCAUUUACUCUUUCAGUGAAGGCAGUGCUGAUGGUCUUUGCCACAGUGUACAGAUCUAAUAGAGUAACCUUUGCAGAAUAUUAAGGCUCUGAAAUUGUUUGAGAAGACUAUUCUUUCCUCUUCUCCAAAUUCAUUCCUCUAUUUCUUCAGAAUCCAACUAAAUCUGCUAAGAAAAUAUGGACAUUUCUCCUUCAUAAGAGAUUUUAAGUUCUUUAUUUUCUCCAUUUUGGUCUCUUCAGAUAUGCCUGGCUUCUUUCUGUUUCAGAAUUUUGUACCUAGAAGGGCUAUGCUCCAACUGUGUUGGGUAUAUUUAAAGUGCUUGGUGCUGUUCAGAUAAUCAACGUUCUGAUGAGCUGUUUUCAUCACUGAUAAUUAAAAAAUAAGAAUAGUUUGUCAGCUCAAAACGUAAAAUUAUUUGAGCAGUUCAUAUUACUGAAUAGCUGCUCAAUCCUGUAAAGAAAAUUAUUUCCUUUGAAAAUAAGGAAAAAUUGAAUGAAGACUAACAUAGACAACAAGGAGCCAUGAACAUGUUCAGUGUCCAUUUUGUAAUGUUCAUCCAGGGAAUUUUAAUUAACAUUUCCUGAAUGCAAGCUUUUAUGUUAGCUGAAAUCUUCAACUUCCUCCAAAGCCAAGAAUUUAAAGUGCAUUUCUUCCACACUGGCUGGAGGUGCACGUAGAUCAUUGCUACUACAGUCUGCCAAUUUUUCAAUUUAUAUUGAGCAAUUCUGCAUUCUCAGUUCGGUAAGUGACUUCAAUAAUCCUACUUAUGAAAAACUGUUUCUCUGGGGAAGUCAUAUAAGGGAAUCUGUACAACAUCCUCCAGGUAGCAAGCCAGUAUUACUUCCCAAAAAACAUAUCUGUAUGAUGUAUAUUUUCAUAUAUGUUUAUGUACUUAAAUAUUUAUAGAUAUUUCCAUGGCUCUCAUUAGCAUUCCAAAAAUGAUGCAAAGUUGACUGAAGUCUAUGAAGUCUGUGGACUAACUCCCCUGUCUGCCAGAUGUGGACUUCAGGUAAGUUCAAUGAACUAUUCCAUAGGUAGGCAAUAUAUCCACUUGCAAAUGAUAUUUAGAAAGCUGAAUCACCAUCUCGUAAGUAAUUACACACACUGACCAAUGAUUGUGAACAGUAGCAUAGGUACUCUAGUAAAAAGAUCAUAGUUAGAUAUUCUUUCAGAACAAUACAUAUUAAGAAGUUCACAUGUAAAUAAUUUUUUGUCAUAAUGCCGUUCCAUAUAUAUGGAAGAAGAAAGAGCAUAUUUGUAGAGAAAAACAGUGUGGUCACUGCCACUUUCUAGUUACCAUUGCAAAUGAAUCAUAGAACCAUAACAUGCUUUAGGUUGGAAAGGACCACUAGAUCAGGCUGCCCAGAGCCCCAUUCAACCUGGCCUUGAACACCUCCAGGAAUGGAGCAUCCACAUGCCCUUCUCUGGACAGCCUGUGCCAGUGCCUCACCACCUCCUAAGCGAAGAACGUCUUCCCAGCAUCUAAGCUAAAUCUUUCCUCUUUCAGUUUGAGAUUAUUCCCCUUGUCCUAUCACUAUCAGACCACAUAAAAAGUCAGUCUUCCUCCUGCUUUUAAGAUCCUCUCAGGUAGUGGAAGGCUGGAAUGAGAUCUCCCUGAAGCCUUCUCCAAGCUAAACAACCCCAGCUACGUCAGCCUGUCUUCAUAAGAGAUGUACUCCAGUCUUCUAAUCAUCUUCAUGGCCCUCCUCUGGACUUGCUCCAACAGCUCAACAUCUUUCUUGAGCUGGGGGACCCAGGUCUGGAUACAGUACUCCAUGAGAGGCCUCGCAAGGGCAAAGUAGAGGGGUACAAUCACCUCUCUCUCCCUGCUUGCCACCUCUCUCUUGAUGCAGCCCUGGAUCCCUUUGGCCUUCAAGACUGCAAGUUCAUACUGCUGGCUCUGUACAGCUUUUCAUCAGGACUCCCAAGUCCUCAUCUGCAGUUCUCAAGGAGUUCUUCUCCCAUUGAGUUGUAGUUGUAUCUGGGGUUUCCUUGAGCCAAGUGCAAGACCUUGCAUCUUGCCUUGUUAAACCUCAUUACAUUCUCAUGUGCCCACUUCUUGAGCGUGUCCAUGUCCCUCUGGAUGGUGUCCCUCCCUUCUGUUGUGUCAGCUGCAUCACUCCGUUUGGUAACAUCAGCAAACUUGCUGAGAGUACACUCAUCCCACUGUCUACAUCAUUGAUAAAGAUGUUGAAGAGCACUGGUCCCGAGAUGGACCAGUGGGUGACACCACACAUUACCAGCCUGUUCCCGGACAAAGAGCCAUUGACAACAACCCUCUGGUUAUGACCACUCAACCAAUUCUUUAUCCAUGUAAUAGUCCAGCCUUCAAAAUAAAUCUCUCUCCAGUUUAAAGACGUUAUGCGAGACCAUGUCAAAGACCUUGCAGAACUCCAGGCAGACAUCAGUUGCCCUUUCUUUGUCCACUGACACCAUUAAUCCAUCAUAGAAGGCCACCAGGCUGUUCAUUUACAGUCUGCCCUUGGUGAAGCCAUGCUGGCUAUCUC